UGCCGCCGCCGGCGAGCGGGCGGCCGUUGGGGCGCGAGCGCGGCCGUUGGGGCGCCGCCGUGCGCUCGCCGCCGGCCAGCGGCCGGGCCAGUCGGAGCGCGGGAGCAUGCGGCACCUCCGCCGCCGCCGCCGCCGGGAAGGGCGAGACUUGCUCUGAAACAGCGGUCUUCCCGGGGCGCAGACAGCGGGGAGUCGCCGGUGUGGGCCUGAGCCGUGUCCCGGGCCGGGCAGCCAGGCCCCCAAGGAGUCUUGCGAGGUGGCAGCCUGAAGGGACUGCGUUUCUCUUCAGUUUAAGCAGCCAGCAUAAAACUUUGUUUGCAAGCGACUUUGGCGGUAGGCAUUCCCCAGACGGUUUGCAAACGCGAAAAGAUGGCACAAUUGGGAAAGCGCUAUUGAAGUGGCACACACAGAUGCCCAGGUACCCGAACAGAAAACAGAAGAGUGGCCUGAAAAAGCAAUGUGUGUACAGGCCCUUUGGUGCUUCUGUGUCAUUCUAGUUCCACCAGUGAACUUCGAGUGUAAGGAUGUUACCUCAGGUAGAAGAUAGCUAAAACCCCUGCUUUGGUUUUAUUACUACUAGGUAAUAAAAAAGAAGCAGCAGCAGCAGAGCAGCUGCAUUUACAAGGAAACUUAUCUCAAGCAUACAGUGACACAGAUGUCUUGGCUUUGAGAAAGCCAACUAUGUAGAAGGCAAAUCUCCGAACUCGAACUUGGCAGAGUGGUGAUCAAGAUACUACUGUCUUCUGCUUCUUUCACAAAUACACUGCACAUGGAAGCUAGCGAAGGUUUGUCAUAGUGUCAUCUCUUGACUUGAGGAUGGUUUGCUGAUGAAGACGACUUGUUUAGAUGCAACAUUUAAUUUUUUAUACCUCGUUAGUUUUAUAUAGAAACAUCAGAGACUUAGGAGCUUUAUACACUAAAAAACAAACUACCUGCCCAGAGAUUUUACAGUCCCAGGACCUUACUCCUGCAAGUGGAUCUACAUGUCCCCUUGGCUUUCAGGCAGAACCAGGAAAUACACUAUGAACCUACCUGAGCAAAGUGGUCUACCUGCAGAGAUCAGUUUCAGAAGCAGAAGAUUUGGUAAAUACAGGUGUCUCAGGAAUUUACCCAUGCAGAAGCAAGUAGCCCUGGCCCAUGGUACAAGCAGAAGAAAAGCACAGCUGAAAGAUGACCAUAAUGUAAUAAUUAUAUCCCAGUGUCCCCUCAUAUUGAAUCAGCUCCUUUUGAUGGAGAACAGCUUCAGUGAAAUUGUUCUCACCGAAGAUCUUUCAGAAGUUGUGAGACUUGGGAUGUCUUGCCUGACUGAGUCUAUUCUGAAGCACUUGGACCUAUCUUAUCCUGUUUUUCUGGUUAAUUCUUCAAUGGAUAAUUGAUUUAAUAGGAAAGGGUAGUUUCCUGUUUGUAGUCAACUUGACAGCACUACCUGCCUGGAUAUGUAGUGUGCAAAGAUACUGGCUCCCAGGAUCAUAUUUCUGAUCUUCCAGCUACUCUUAGCACAUAUCUGAUGCCCUGACUUACCAUGUGUCCUAGUCAACAAUUAGAGCUAAGCAAAUUAAUAGAGUUACGUCCCAGGAUACAGCUUAUCAGGUGCAGACUAUCAUCUCAGCUAUGCUGGGUUCUGGGACAUUUGUGCUCUCUGGAUACGGUGUUAGAGCCAAUCUCUGUGUAAGAGGGGCAAGUAAACUGUAGGAGAAGAAAGUUGGUUUAGUGGCUCUUUGGUUGGUUUUUUCCCCUCCCACUAGCUGGGACUUAGAGGCUGUGAAUUUAAUGCAGUGUUUCACAAGAGACUUCCUGUGUGGUCUUCAACAAGCCAUUAGUUAAAAGUCCUGUUGGUUGUAAAGAAGUAAUGCCUCACUGCCAUUUGUGUCCUUGAAAAUCAGCCUUUUAGUUUGUUGGGCCUCUAUAAUGAUUCACAAAUUGUUUCAAUUUACGGGCAUAGGACAAGUCUUAGAAAUCCUCUCUACUUAGAAACAGGAAGCGUUUCAGUACUCAUAAAAGACAGUGAAUGCUGAGCAAAAGUAAUUUGAAAAUUAUUGCUGUGAUUAUCAAACUGCAGUACCAGUAAAUAAUGUGGUAUAAUAAAUGUAGUAAAUAAUUUUUA